CCCCAGACUCCUACGGGAGGCAGCAGUGGGGAAUCUUGCGCAAUGGGCGGAAGCCUGACGCAGCGACGCCGCGUGCGGGACGAAGGCCUUCGGGUCGUAAACCGCUUUCAGCAGGGACGAGGCCCUCACGGUGACGGUACCUGACUAAGAAGCCCCGGCUAACUACGUGCCAGCAGCCGCGGUAAUACGUAGGGGGCAAGCGUUAUCCGGAAUUACUGGGUGUAAAGGGAGCGCAGACGGCAGUGCAAGUCUGGAGUGAAAGCCCGUGGCUUAACCACGGGACUGCUCUGGAAACUGUGCAGCUAGAGUGCAGGAGAGGCAGGCGGAAUUCGUGGUGUAGCGGUGAAAUGCUUAGAUAUCACGAAGAACUCCGAUUGCGAAGGCAGCCUACUAAACUGCCACUGACAUUGAUGCUCGAAAGUGUGGGUAUCAAACAGGAUUAGAUACCCCCGUAC
rnacentral:rRNA from 1 species